CCCAUUUCAUGUGUUGCAAUAAUACAUCAAGAGCUUCUCUGAGAGGCUUAUAGCUGGAAGGGAGCCCUGUCCUGUGGGCAGGUAUGUGCCUUCAUCUCUGUCCUGAGACCUGCCACUAAGUAGAGGUUAUUAGUCUGGUACCUUCCUUGUAAAUCCACCUGAGGCCCGGAGAGAAGUGACUUCCCUUUCCAAAAGUUGCCAUACUGGUAGAUGAGUGGGUCAUAGGAGACAGAGUCUGGGAUCCAAGGGGCUGAAGGAGGUUCCAACAAUGGAUUUGGGAAUGGGGAGGCAAAGACCCC
rnacentral:lncRNA from 10 species